GCAGCAAAAGGAACUCCUUUAUUGUGGUCGUCUCAUGAAAAAGAGAAACAAAUGUUGAAAAGGCAUGGAAGAAUGCAAUCUGGAUGUUGACAAUCAAGUGGCAAUUGAGUGCUCUUAUCUUUGCCUGCUCUGUCUUAAGAGCAUUGCAGACUGCUAGGCUGGGGUUAAGAUGUGGGUGUACAGGCUGAGGAUGGCCAGAUUGGCUUGUCACAAACUGGCCCACGUGGCCAUGACAGACCAUCCAAGCUAACUGCACUUAUCAUCUUCAUUUGGGACAGUGUUUCUGUUCAGUCAUCCCUGUCUGUAGCCACAGCAACCACUAAAAGAAGAAUGGAAAUUGGAUGAACUAAAAUUGUUAUAUUGUCUGAAGAACAACCUCAAAUAAAUACUAAUGUUGCUUCACA